rnacentral:lncRNA from 10 species
CUCCCGUGGUCAGCGUCACUGUCAGCCAAGAAAUGCAAGCCUCACAGGUGGGACAUGCUUGGCCGACCAUGGCUGCCUUCAUGCCACGUUUUAUUUCCCCACGACUCUCCCAAAGAGGCCUCAGAACUGGGCGUGGAGGACGUGCAGCUGCAUGAGGCUCACUGCUGGCUGGGCUCCUCCAUCCCUCUGCUCCUUAUAAAAGAGGCCCCAAGAGCUCCCCUGCUCCCUCUGCUGUCUACUGAGGACACAGUGAGAAGACGGUCAUCUGCAAACUAGGAAGUGAAUCUGCUGGUGCCUUGAUCUUGGACUUCCCAGCUUCCGGAACUGUUGUUCAUAAGCUACCCCAGUUUACGGCAUAUUUGUUAUAGCAGCCUGAACAAACAUUUGGAGACAUCUGCUCUCUACCCAGGGCUGCUCCCACCACAGGGCCUUUGCACAUGCUGUUCCCACUCCUGGAUGCUGUUCCCCACAUCCCUUCCUCCUUACUCCCUAAGGGGUUCCUUGAUCAUCCCAUUGAAAAGUUGCUUCUGCGGCCAGGCUCAGUGGCUCACGCCUGUAAUCCCAACACUCUGGGAGGCUGAGGAGGGUGGAUCACCUGAGGUCAGGAAUUCGGGACCAGCCUGGCCAACAUGGUGAAACCCCGUCUCUACUAAAAAUACAAAAAGUUAACUGGGCAUGGUCCCAUGCGCCUGUAAUCCCAGCUACUUGGGAGGCUGAGGCAGGAGAAUCGCUUGAACCCGGG